rnacentral:tRNA from 1 species
GGCGGGAUGGCCGAGCGGUCUAAGGCGCUAGAAUCAGGCAAUGUGAUUGCGGAAUCUAGUCCGAAAGGGCGCGAGUUCGAAUCUCGCUCCCGUCA